rnacentral:rRNA from 1 species
AGUCUGACCGAGCAACGCCGCGUGAGUGAAGAAGGUUUUCGGAUCGUAAAGCUCUGUUGUAAGAGAAGAACGAGUGUGAGAGUGGAAAGUUCACACUGUGACGGUAUCUUACCAGAAAGGGACGGCUAACUACGUGCCAGCAGCCGCGGUAAUACGUAGGUCCCGAGCGUUGUCCGGAUUUAUUGGGCGUAAAGCGAGCGCAGGCGGUUAGAUAAGUCUGAAGUUAAAGGCUGUGGCUUAACCAUAGUACGCUUUGGAAACUGUUUAACUUGAGUACAAGAGGGGAGAGUGGAAUUCCAUGUGUAGCGGUGAAAUGCGUAGAUAUAUGGAGGAACACCGGUGGCGAAAGCGGCUCUCUGGCUUGUAACUGACGCUGAGGCUCGAAAGCGUGGGGAGCAAACAGGAUUAGAUACCCUGGUAGUCCACGCCGUAAACGAUGAGUGCUAGGUGUUAGACCCUUUCCGGGGUUUAGUGCCGUAGCUAACGCAUUAAGCACUCCGCCUGGGGAGUACGACCGCAAGGUUGAAACUCAAAGGAAUUGACGGGGGGCCCGCAC